rnacentral:rRNA from 1 species
GACGAACGCUGGCGGCGUGCCUAAUACAUGCAAGUAGGACGCAGUUGCGAACGGGUGAGUAACGCGUAGGUAACUGCCUAUUAGAGGGGGAUAACUAUUGGAAACGAUAGCUAAUACCGCAUACUAGUAGUUGGACCUUCGUUGUAUUAGCUAGUAGGUAGGGUAAUGGCCUACCUAGGCGACGAUACAUAGCCGACCUGAGAGGAUGAUCGGCAACAGUGCGACUGAGACACGGACCAGACUCCUACGGGAGGCAGCAGUAGGGAACCUUCGGGAAUGGGGGGAACCGUGACUGGGCAACGCCGCGUGAGUGAAGAAGGUUUUCGGAUCGUAAAGCUCUGUUGUUAAGGAAGCGUUACUUAACAAGAAAGGGACGGCUAACUACGUGCCAGCAGCCGCGGUAUUC